rnacentral:tRNA from 3 species
AGACCAAUAGCUCAAUUGGCAGAGCACCGGUCUCCAAAACCGGGGGUUGGGGGUUCAAAUCCCUCUUGGUCUGCCA